rnacentral:rRNA from 1 species
AUUGAACGCUGGCGGCAGGCCUAACACAUGCAAGUCGAACGGUAACAGGAAACAGCUUGCUGUUUCGCUGACGAGUGGCGGACGGGUGAGUAAUGUCUGGGAAACUGCCUGAUGGAGGGGGAUAACUACUGGAAACGGUAGCUAAUACCGCAUAUCGUCGCAAGACCAAAGAGGGGGACCCUCGGGCCUCUUGCCAUCGGAUGUGCCCAGAUGGGAUUAGCUUGUUGGUGGGGUAACGGCUCACCAAGGCGACGAUCCCUAGCUGGUCUGAGAGGAUGACCAGCCACACUGGAACUGAGACACGGUCCAGACUCCUACGGGAGGCAGCAGUGGGGAAUAUUGCACAAUGGGCGCAAGCCUGAUGCAGCCAAGCCGCGUGUAUGAAGAAGGCCUUCGGGUUGUAAAGUACUUUCAGCGGGGAGGAAGGGAGUAAAGUUAAUACCUUUGCUCAUUGACGUUACCCGCAGAAGAAGCACCGGCUAACUCCGUG